CCUCCCCUCCCAUUUCAAACCAAUCAUAUAACUAGUCCCGCCCCGGCUGCUUGCGGCCCUGGUCGUGUGAAAUUCACAUUGAAAUCGCCCCCUGUCCGACCCACAUUCGACCCGCCCCUCGACCUGGGCCGGGACGCUGAGCCGAUCGAUGAGGGUUGAGACGCCGACACAUUUUCCGGCAAAACCGCCCAAAACCGCGCAAAACAGUUGCGUUGACCUUUCUAGGCGCACCCAUGGGUGCAACCAAUUCCAGAACAUUCCUGCGCUGUGCUUUGGCCUCUUUGCUCUGCGCCCUACCUUGCGGUUUUGCCGCGGAUUGUGUGCAGGCGGCUUUAACCCUUUCAAACACACUCUGGUUUAACCCUGGUUGAGCCCCCGGUGUGACAAGGGCAUUAGGGUCUCCAUUAAUGAAUGGAGUUUCAAAAAAGGCUAAAAAGCCAUUAUUUCAAUGGCUAUUUCAUAUCUAAUUUCAUAUUACUAAUUGUAAAGUAUGAAAGAGUUCAAUGGACCGUUCUCUUUUGAGUUCACUUUAUUUAUUUAUUUGAACUUCAGAGCACUCCAGACUUUUUUUCUUUCUAAAUGAAUGGAGUUGGUUCAACUCCCAUGACCUGAUGGUUGUAUAAUAUUGGUUGGAGGUCCAAAGAUGGAUCUUUCUCUCCAGCUGUGCACUCACUCCAUGAGCAUUGUGACGCUGCGAGUGCGUCUGCUCCGUUGUUCAGACGGCCGAUCUCUGUUUGCGAUGCUCAUCCAGUCUGCGAAGACUCUGAGAUUUGGUUAAAAGCUCCAAAAACCGAUUGAUUCUCCUCUGCAUGUAGAGUAAGCAGCUCCACUGCAACAGUUCACUGCAACUAUCCCACCUCUGGACUACUGUCCAAUGCGUGCCACGCACUACUGUUGUAGCAUCAGAGCUUAAAGUAGAGCUGCAAAAUGAAUCAAUUGUCAACAAUAACAAUAAGUAAUCACCAACUAUUUUGUUAAUCAAUAAGUCAAAUUGUUUUUUUCAUGAAAAAGUGAAAACGUCUGAUUCCAGCAACUUAAAUUUGAAUAUUUUCUACUUCUUCACUAAACUAAAUAUCUCUGAGUUGUGGACAAAACAAGACGUUUGAGGACGUCAUCUUGGGCUUUUUGGGGAAACACUGAUCCACAUGUUUCCCCAUUUUUUAACAUUUUAACCUUUUGAUUUUUUUUUCCAGAAAAUAAUCAGAUUAUUCAACAAUGAAAAUAAUUGAUAGUUAGAUAAAUCACAGUUCCUGUCAACUUGAAAAGCAUCUGGAUGCAGGAUGCAUCUAUUCAACACUUCACUUGUAUAGGUAGUAUCCCUUUAAGGCCUUUGACUUAUUUCCAGUGUACCUUUUGUGAUUUAGUUCCAUCUUUAGUGUUUGGUUACAACAUCAUGUUCAUCAGGCUGUUACAGUUAUAACUUCUAGUCGGUGUUUGUGCACAUAUACAGAACUGUCAUUUUUGACUUUAUUUUCUAAUGACAAUAAAAUCAUUGCU